CAACUGCGAGUUUAGCUUCCGCUGAUUUGCGUCAUUUCCGGUUUCGCUUUCCGCCCCUAAUUGUCAUGGAAACUGAAUUAAGUGAGCAGCGACCAGGGCUUCAGUGACAGGUAGCGGUUAUCUUAAUCCGACACCCACAGAUCAGAACACUGCUGAGCAAUAUAAUUGAGCAGUUACCCACGGAAACUGACGAGCAGCCAGGCUGAAUGUGAUUGCACUUUCUGCCAACUUGAAUCAAACAAUUUGCAGCUCCAGUGAUCUCAGUUUGAUCCUGACCUUGGUUGCUGCCCACAUUCUCCCGAUGACUGAAUUUCUACCAGGUGCACCCAUUUUCUCCAGUAUCCAAAAGAUGUAUAUUAAUAUCCUGCAAUAUAUCAUCCCUUGAUGUGGCAUUCAAGCUUGGAGAUGACAGAACUGGCCGGGAGUGAAAAUGAAACCAUUUCACUACUUCAACAUGUUAGGAACUAUGAAAAAUUUGAAAGUAUCGGCAAUCGUCUUGAAUAUUACAAUGAAAAUGAAGAUUUGGAGGAUGCAACUGUCAAAAGCAUUGUAUGAAAGCAGUCCAUUAUCCACACUAGCUGUCUGCACUGAUUUUGUUCAUUUACAGUGUACGCUCCAUUCAUUCUUCUGUCGAUAACAAUGAGAAACAAAUACCCAGUUUUAUAGUAUGCUAGUAGUAUUGAU